rnacentral:rRNA from 1 species
UACGGGGGGGGUAAGCGUUGUUCGGAAUUACUGGGCGUAAAGGGCUCGUAGGCGGCCAACUAAGUCAGACGUGAAAUCCCUCAGCUUAACUGGGGAACUGCGUCUGAUACUGGAUGGCUUGGAUUCGGGAGAGGAAUGCGGAAUUCCAGGUGUAGCGGUGAAAUGCGUAGAGAUCGGUAGGAACACCAGUGGCGAAGGCGGUCUCCUGGAGCCCUCUUGACGCUGAGGCGCGGAAAGCUGGGGAGCAAACGGGG